rnacentral:ncRNA from 2 species
AAUGCAUUUUAGGGGUGCCCAGACCGUUUGGUCGGCUGAGAAUAUACCCUUACGAACUGAACCGGACAAUUCCGGCGUAGUCAAAAAUCAAACAAUCUCU